CUGGGAUUACAGGUGUGAGCCACCUUGCUCAUUCUAGUUUAAACUUUUGAAUGGUUUGUGUCUCCUGAUUGGACUCCUACAAAUACAGAGUCGAUGCUAGGAAGGGUACCAGGAGAUAGACACACACAGAUGGGAUUUGGGAGUAGGUUUGGUUAUCCAAGGAGCAGUGCUGAGCUCCUUGCUAAUGGGAUAUGGGAUGCUGGUGAUUUCCAGGAAGUGACUUCACAAUGACUCAAGCUACCAUAUACUGUUGAUUGUGAAAUGCCAGUUGAAGCAUAUGUCCUGUGAGCUUAGGGGUGCUACAGGUUGACCACUGCAGCAGUAAAGAUGACUCUGAAGAAUGGCAUGGGAUGGAUCCUUUCGAAUGCACUUGAGCAGCGGUCUCCAACCACAGGGCCACAGAGCUGGAGCUGGAUCUACCAUGAACGACUUCUGAAUCCAGGAAGAGAGACUGACUGGGCAACAUGUUAUUCAGGGUCUCCCUCUGUUGUCCAAGGCUGGAGUGUAGUAGUGCUAUCACAGCUGACUGCAGCCUCAACCUUCCAGGCUGAAGCGAUCCUCCCAU
rnacentral:sRNA from 1 species